rnacentral:rRNA from 1 species
GAGAGUAAAAUAGUACGUGAAAUUGUUGAAAGGGAAACGAUUGAAGUCAGUCGUACCGACGAGAAAUCAGCUCUUCGAGUGCGAACUUGUGGGCGUGCGUGAGUCUUUAACGGGCCUCGCUGUUUGCAAUGUUUGUGCUUCUUGGGUGUACUUGCCCGUGUGGUUGGUUAACAUCAAUUUUGGUGGUCAUAAAAUGACUGGGGGAAUGUAGCUUCGAUCUUGUAUUGAAGUGUUAUAGCCUUCGGUAGAUGUGGUGAUCGAGAUUGAGGAUUGCAACGGAUACCUUUCGGGGCUACCUGUCUGAUCUCUGAUCGUUGCUUUGGUGCUGAAAGCGUGCUUAUAGUUAUCAAAGUCGAUGGUUAAUAGGUUAGAAUGGGUUAAAUUCGUUAAGGAUGUUGACGUAAUGGCUUUAAACGA